GGGUUGGGCUGUUCGCCCAUUAAAGCGGUACGCGAGCUGGGUUUAGAACGUCGUGAGACAGUUCGGUCCCUAUCCGCUGCGCGCGUAGGAAAUUUGAGAAGAUCUAUCCCUAGUACGAGAGGACCGGGAUGGACGAACCUCUGGUGUGUCAGUUGUUCCGCCAGGAGCACCGCUGAUUAGCUACGUUCGGAAUGGAUAACCGCUGAAAGCAUCUAAGCGGGAAGCCAGCUUCAAGAUGAGAUUUCCAUCCCUUAGGGGGAGAGGCUCGCAGCUAGACUACUGCGUUGAUAGGCCGGAUGUGGAAGCGUGGCAACACGUGUAGCUGACCGGUACUAAUAAGCCGAUAACUUGACAACAUCA
rnacentral:rRNA from 1 species